rnacentral:rRNA from 1 species
UACGUAGGGCGCAAGCGUUGUCCGGAAUUAUUGGGCGUAAAGAGCUCGUAGGCGGUUUGUCGCGUCUGUCGUGAAAGCUUGGGGCUUAACCCCAAGUCUGCGGUGGAUACGGGCAGACUGGAGGCAGGUAGGGGAGAACGGAAUUCCCGGUGUAGCGGUGAAAUGCGCAGAUAUCGGGAGGAACACCGGUGGCGAAGGCGGUUCUCUGGGCCUGUACUGACGCUGAGGAGCGAAAGCGUGGGGAGCGAACAGG